GCCCGGUUAGCUCAAUCGGUAGAGCGUGAGACUCUUAAUCUCAAGGUUGCGGGUAAGCUUUCCUUCCAUUAAGAAGAUUACGAGGGAAAAAAAGUAACUAACAGAUGAUGAAAUAGGUUCGACCCCCGCAUUGGGCU